rnacentral:lncRNA from 1 species
GGGCCAAACUAAACACGCUUUUAACAUAGCACUAGGAGCUGUCUUUAACCAGACACGAUCAAUCAAGUUUGAAGUUCAUUUCCCUAAGCAAUUAACUUGUAGAAACCAUUAGGAAAAAGUUGGACAAACAAAUCUAAUGGAAUGGGCCCGAGUGGUGAGAUCAGAUAGUUACACACACAUACAUGAUACACCUUCGUUGAUCCUUUUAGAAAAACAACAAGGGACAUGGUUGUGUUCAACCAACAAGAUAUCAAACGUAUUCAUCUACUUCAGUAAUCGUACAUAUCAGCAAACCGUGAAACUUUUUUCUUUAACUUUACUUGUUAUCAAGUUCCAUCCUUUUUUGUCUCACCGACGUGCCAACCAAAACUAUCAAGCCAUUGUCUGUCUGAUCGAUGCUUUCGAAUCUGUGACUUAUCAAAAUAAGACCAAAAAAAAAAAUUAAAUGAAACGGUGACACUAGUCUAAUAAUAGUGACGUACAAUGACAUUCCACAAGCCACACACACGUAGGGCAAUUGAUAGAAAGAGACGCACACGAGUAAAUCCAACG